CGCAACUGCAACCACUGAGUUUGAACCAGCCAUGCCCUAAAUAGAUGAUGUUUUAAAGAGUUUUUGAUGUUUCAAAACAGAUGAAAUGUUUUUAACUUUAUUAAAAACUGUGUAACCAAUGAUAUUUUAUAGUUUUAUUUUAUGAUUGGUUGAAUAUUUUUUAAUUUAUAUUUUAAGAUAAAAAAACAAAUUUUUUAAUUGUUGUGCAUAAUUUUGAAACAGAGGGAAUAUUAGAUAUCACACUGGAAAUUGAUAAACAACAUAAGUAAUGUAUAAACGACAUGUGUCAAUCUACCUAUAAAUCUUAACAUGUGAUCAUACCUCGCUAAGUCCGAUAAAAUAAAUCGAUCACAAUAAAAGAAAUAAAAAUGAAAUAAUAUUAGAUAAAUGAGUAGGUUUUUUUGUUUUUUUUUUUUUUUGAACAUUGAAAACCACAUUCUCUCAAAUGAACUUCUUAGAGUAGAAUACAUCAAAAUAUCAUUUUGGCAACUUAAUAAAAAAAUCCAAUUUACAUUUGCAUAUAUAGUAUGUGGUUCAAUUCAUUUAUUAACAUUCCGUUUUUUAAUUAAAUUAUUAUAAUAUAAUACCGUGUAAUUUGUUGAACUUUUGUAACAACAUUAGCGACUCGAUGUUUAUUCAAAUAUAUUUAACUGAUGGUUGGAAAAUUGCCAAUCCGCACUACGUAAGUUUCAAAGGAACGUAACUAAUUC
rnacentral:lncRNA from 1 species